UGGGGAAUAUUGGACAAUGGGCGCAAGCCUGAUCCAGCAAUGCCGCGUGAGUGAUGAAGGCUUUAGGGUUGUAAAGCUCUUUUACCCGGGAUGAUAAUGACAGUACCGGGAGAAUAAGCUCCGGCUAACUCCGUGCCAGCAGCCGCGGUAAU
rnacentral:rRNA from 1 species